UCCCUGGAGGACUAGUGGCUAGGCCACGGCGCUCUCACUGCUGUGGCCCGGGUUCAAUUCCUGGCCAGCAAA
rnacentral:tRNA from 1 species